rnacentral:lncRNA from 1 species
GAUCAUACAAGGUGGCAACCAAGCAAAGUUUGUUUUUUCUUGGUGCUGUUAUUCCGCAGGUCUCCGUCAUGUCUAAGCCAUUGGAGUUGAUACCACCCGGGAGUUUCCAGUCGAAGUUGUACAGCAGUUGAGCUAAAGGAAGCUCCACAUUGGCUAAACCAAAUGAAAUUCCUGGACAAAUUCGCCUUCCUCCACCAAAUGGUAGAUAUUCAAACUGUGUUCCUGUGAAAUCAACUGGAUUGUUGUGGAAUCUCUCUGGCUUAAAACUCUCCGGAUCAUCCCAGUACUUAGGAUCUCUUUGGAUUGCCCAAGCAUUAACGAAGACUCUUGUUUUGCUAGGGAUGAUAUAUCCAUCUAUUUCACAUUGCCUCCUGCAUUCCAUGGGAACCAACAGAGGCAGAGGAGGGUGUAAUCUUAGAGUUUCUUUAAUCACUAACUUAAGAUAUCUUAGACCUUCAGUAUCCAUCUCUUCAAUUUUUUCCUUUCCCAAGAAGGCUUUUCUAAUCUCGUUCUGUGCCUUGGACAUCACUUUUGGAUUUCUUAUCAUCUCAGACAUAGCCCAUUCAACCAAUGUGGCCGAAGUUUCAGUUCCCCCCGUGAACAUAUCCUGCAUCAUAUAAUUGCACAAUUAUCUUAUACCAAAAUGAUACAAUAUACACACACACACAAACACACACACACACACAUAUGCAUAUGUAUAUGUAUAACCAAUACUUACAAACAGUAUAGCCUUGAUUGUUUUGUUGGUAAUUGGAAAUUGAAGGUCACCACUUUCUUUAAUCCUUAAUAGGACAUCAAUUAGAUCUUCUUGGCCGAACUCGCCAUUCACCGUUUUCGAUCUUGCUAAGUUCUCAAUAUGCUCAUUGAUUACGCUUUCCAAAAUCACAUCAAUCUUGUGGUGCAGCUUCUGCAAUGUGGGCUUCAUCCAACUUAGACGGUGGAGAAUCUUCUGGGAUGGGAACAGAUCAGAGAUGUCAAACCCACUCGUUCGGGACAAUACUUCCUUCAUUAAUUUUAUGAGCGUAAUUCGUUCUCUAAAGACUUUUCCGCAUGCUGCUCUGCAAAUCAUGGAACUUGUGAAUGAGGAAAUUUCUUCAGUCAAAUUGAUUGGUUGUCCACCAAUAGUGGAACCCUGAAUAGAUGAA